AAUCAACGCUGGCGGCGUGCCUAACACAUGCAAGUCGCACGAGAAAGGGUAGCAAUACCUGAGUAAAGUGGCGCACGGGUGAGUAACACGUGACUAACCUACCCUCGAGUGGGGAAUAACUGAGAGAAAUCUUAGCUAAUACCGCAUAACACUUACGAGUCAAAGCAGCAAUGCGCUUGGGGAGGAGGUCGCGGCAGAUUAGCUAGUUGGUGGGGUAAUGGCCCACCAAGGCAAUGAUCUGUAUCCGGCCUGAGAGGGCGCACGGACACACUGGAACUGAAACACGGUCCAGACUCCUACGGGAGGCAGCAGUGGGGAAUUUUGCGCAAUGGGGGAAACCCUGACGCAGCAACGCCGCGUGGAGGAUGAAAUCCCUUGGGAUGUAAACUCCUUUCGAUAGGGAAGAUAAUGACGGUACCUAUAGAAGAAG
rnacentral:rRNA from 1 species